rnacentral:lncRNA from 1 species
GAGAACUAUACUGAGAAUGAAAUCACCAACUUUUAGCUUUUGCUGUCGCGGCUCGUCAUAGUCGGGAUGCGUUAGUCCAUGAUUUGUUAAUACUAUUAUGGCAUAUCCAUGAACGUUUUUCCAUUAAGCAACAUUUCUCUAAAACGUGCGGAAAUCGUUGGACAUGAGUCGGUAAAGGGUUUGCCUGCCCCCGUACCGGUAUGCGGAAUCAUGCUCCUGAGCAGCAUUUACGACAACAAGUUUAAGCAUGAUAUGGUAAUGUAUGCAACAUUGUUUAUGGUUCCUGUGUGCAGGAUCCAGGCAACGGAUGGAAUGCUUUACGAUGGCUGACAGCUGCUCUGGCGGAUUUCAAAGAUAACCUUUCACUUGCAUCAUUUUUCCCUCAUAAAUUUCAAAAAUGUACUGCUUAUAUAUUUUAUGGAGCUUUUGGGAUCCACUGUUUUAGGAACGGGUACGCGUAAGGAAUGUGAGUAAAGGUUGCUGGCAGCCGGUAUAGCAAAAGGGUACCUUAUAAUACACGAUGCAAACGGUUAUAAUUAUCAAAACUCUUCAGAGUCAGUCGUGCAG